rnacentral:rRNA from 1 species
GACGAACGCUGGCGGCGUGCUUAACACAUGCAAGUCGAACGGAAAGGCCCUGCUUUUGUGGGGUGCUCGAGUGGCGAACGGGUGAGUAACACGUGAGUAACCUGUCCUUGACUUUGGGAUAACUUCAGGAAACUGGGGCUAAUACCGGAUAGGAGCUCCUGCUGCAUGGUGGGGGUUGGAAAGUUUCGGCGGUUGGGGAUGGACUCGCGGCUUAUCAGCUUGUUAGUGUGGUAGUGGCUUACCAAGGCUUUGACGGGUAGCCGGCCUGAGAGGGUGACCGGCCACAUUGGGACUGAGAUACGGCCCAGAAUCGUACGGGAGGCAGCAGUGGGGAAUAUUGCACAAUGGGCGGGAGCCUGAUGCAGCAGCGCCGCGUGCGGGAUGACGGCCUUCGGGUUGUAAACCGCUUUCGCCUGUGACGAAGCGUGAGUGACGGUAAUGGGUAAAGAAGCACCGGCUAACUACGUG